rnacentral:rRNA from 8 species
AAAUUGAAGAGUUUGAUCAUGGCUCAGAUUGAACGCUGGCGGCAGGCCUAACACAUGCAAGUCGAACGGUAACAGGAAACAGCUUGCUGUUU